rnacentral:rRNA from 1 species
UUCGCCCUUAGAGUUUGAUCCUGGCUCAGGACGAACGCUGGCGGCGCGCCUAACACAUGCAAGUCGAACGAGCGAGAGAGAGCUUGCUUUCUUGAGCGAGUGGCGAACGGGUGAGUAACGCGUGAGGAACCUGCCUCAAAGAGGGGGACAACAGUUGGAAACGACUGCUAAUACCGCAUAAGCCCACGGGUCGGCAUCGACCAGAGGGAAAAGGAGCAAUCCGCUUUGAGAUGGCCUCGCGUCCGAUUAGCUGGUUGGUGAGGUAAUGGCCCACCAAGGCGACGAUCGGUAGCCGGACUGAGAGGUUGAACGGCCACAUUGGGACUGAGACACGGCCCAGACUCCUACGGGAGGCAGCAGUGGGGAAUAUUGCACAAUGGGGGAAACCCUGAUGCAGCGACGCCGCGUGGAGGAAGAAGGUCUUCGGAUUGUAAACUCCUGUUGUUGGGGAAGAUAAUGACGGUAUCCAACAAGGAAGUGACGGCUAACUACGUGCCAGCAGCCGCGGUAAAACGUAGGUCACAAGCGUUGUCCGGAAUUACUGGGUGUAAAGGGAGCGCAGGCGGGAAGACAAGUUGGAAGUGAAAUCCAUGGGCUCAACCCAUGAACUGCUUUCAAAACUGUUUUUCUUGAGUAGUGCAGAGGUAGGCGGAAUUCCCGGUGUAGCGGUGGAAUGCGUAGAUAUCGGGAGGAACACCAGUGGCGAAGGCGGCCUACUGGGCACCAACUGACGCUGAGGCUCGAAAGUGUGGGUAGCAAACAGGAUUAGAUACCCUGGUAGUCCACACCGUAAACGAUGAUUACUAGGUGUUGGAGGAUUGACCCCUUCAGUGCCGCAGUUAACACAAUAAGUAAUCCACCUGGGGAGUACGACCGCAAGGUUGAAACUCAAAGGAAUUGACGGGGGCCCGCACAAGCAGUGGAGUAUGUGGUUUAAUUCGACGCAACGCGAAGAACCUUACCAAGUCUUGACAUCCGUUGACCGACAUAGAAAUAUGUUUUUCCUUCGGGACAGCGAGACAGGUGGUGCAUGGUUGUCGUCAGCUCGUGUCGUGAGAUGUUGGGUUAAGUCCCGCAACGAGCGCAACCCUUAUGGUCAGUUACUACGCAAGAGGACUCUGGCCAGACUGCCGUUGACAAAACGGAGGAAGGUGGGGAUGACGUCAAAUCAUCAUGCCCUUUAUGACUUGGGCUACACACGUACUACAAUGGCGUUAAACAAAGAGAAGCAAGACCGCGAGGUGGAGCAAAACUCAGAAACAACGUCCCAGUUCGGACUGCAGGCUGCAACUCGCCUGCACGAAGUCGGAAUUGCUAGUAAUCGUGGAUCAGCAUGCCACGGUGAAUACGUUCCCGGGCCUUGUACACACCGCCCGUCA